rnacentral:rRNA from 1 species
GAAUCCCGUCCACCGAUUGACUAAGGUUUCCAGAGGAAGGCUCGUCCGCUCUGGGUUAGUCGGGUCCUAAGCUGAGGCCGACAGGCGUAGGCGAUGGAUAACAGGUUGAUAUUCCUGUACCACCUAUAAUCGUUUUAAUCGAUGGGGGGACGCAGUAGGAUAGGCGAAGCGUGCGAUUGGAUUGCACGUCUAAGCAGUAAGGCUGAGUAUUAGGCAAAUCCGGUACUCGUUAAGGCUGAGCUGUGAUGGGGAGAAGACAUUGUGUCUUCGAGUCGUUGAUUUCACACUGCCGAGAAAAGCCUCUAGAUAGAAAAUAGGUGCCCGUACCGCAAACCGACACAGGUAGUCAAGAUGAGAAUUCUAAGGUGAGCGAGCGAACUCUCGUUAAGGAACUCGGCAAAAUGACCCCGUAACUUCGGGAGAAGGGGUGCUCUUUAGGGUUAACGCCCAGAAGAGCCGCAGUGAAUAGGCCCAAGCGACUGUUUAUCAAAAACACAGGUCUCUGCUAAACCGUAAGGUGAUGUAUAGGGGCUGACGCCUGCCCGGUGCUGGAAGGUUAAGAGGAGUGGUUAGCUUCUGCGAAGCUACGAAUCGAAGCCCCAGUAAACGGCGGCCGU